AAUGAACGCUGGCGGCAGGCCUAACACAUGCAAGUCGAGCGGAUGAAGGGAGCUUGCUCCUGGAUUCAGCGGCGGACGGGUGAGUAAUGCCUAGGAAUCUGCCUGGUAGUGGGGGAUAACGUCCGGAAACGGGCGCUAAUACCGCAUACGUCCUGAGGGAGAAAGUGGGGGAUCUUCGGACCUCACGCUAUCAGAUGAGCCUAGGUCGGAUUAGCUAGCUGGUGGGGUAAAUGCCUACCAAGGCGACGAUCCGUAACUGGUCUGAGAGGAUGAUCAGUCACCCUGGACCUGAGACACGGUCCAGACUCCUACGGGAGGCAGCAGUGGGGAAUAUUGGACAAUGGGCGAAAGCAUUAUCCAGCCAUGCCGCGUGUGUGAAGAAGGUCUUCGGAUUGUCAAGCCCUUUUAGUUGUGAGGAAGGGCAGUAAGUUAAUACCUUGCUGUUUUGACGUUACCAACAGAAUAAGCACCGGCUAACUUCGUG
rnacentral:rRNA from 1 species